rnacentral:rRNA from 1 species
AACGAACGCUGGCGGCAGGCCUAACACAUGCAAGUCGAACGCCGUAGCAAUACGGAGUGGCAGACGGGUGAGUAACACGUGGGAACGUACCCUUCGGUUCGGAAUAACUCAGGGAAACUUGAGCUAAUACCGGAUACGUCCGAGAGGAGAAAGAUUUAUCGCCGAAGGAUCGGCCCGCGUCUGAUUAGCUUGUUGGUGAGGUAACGGCUCACCAAGGCGACGAUCAGUAGCUGGUCUGAGAGGAUGAUCAGCCACAUUGGGACUGAGACACGGCCCAAACUCCUACGGGAGGCAGCAGUGGGGAAUAUUGGACAAUGGGGGCAACCCUGAUCCAGCCAUGCCGCGUGAGUGAUGAAGGCCUUAGGGUUGUAAAGCUCUUUUACCUGGGAAGAUAAUGACGGUACCAGGAGAAUAAGCCCCGGCUAACUUCGUGCCAGCCGCCGCGGUAA